CGAAAGCCUGACGGAGCAACGCCGCGUGAGGGAGGAAGGCUCUUGGGUUGUAAACCUCUUUUCUCAAGGAAGAUAAUGACGGUACUUGAGGAAUCAGCAUCGGCUAACUCCGUGCCAGCAGCCGCGGUAAUACGGAGGAUGCAAGCGUUAUCCGGAAUAAUUGGGCGUAAAGCGUUCGUAGGUGGUGAUGUAAGUCUGCUGUUAAAGCGUGUAGCUUAACUACAUAUAGGCGGUGGAAACUACGUGACUAGAGUGCGUUCGGGGCAGAGGGAAUUCCUGGUGUAGCGGUGAAAUGCGUAGAUAUCAGGAAGAACACCGGUGGCGAAGGCGCUCUGCUAGGCCGUAACUGACACUGAGGGACGAAAGCUAGGGGAGCG
rnacentral:rRNA from 1 species